rnacentral:lncRNA from 10 species
AAAGAACAAAAAUAUGAAUAUAAACAUCUAGAAGAUAACAGGAGAUAAUAUACUUAUGCAAAUAUUUUGUCAAAGGACAGGAAAAAGGCACAAAUCACAAAAAAAUUAGACUUCAUCAACAUUAAAAUAUCUCCUCAUGCAAAGAUACUUUUCAAAAAAAGUGAAAAACAACUAUAUUACUGGGAGAAGAUAUUUGCAAAACAUAUAUCUAAAAAAGACUCAUCCAUAAAAUGUAAAGGCCUUUCAAACUCAAUAACAAGAAAACAAACUAUGAAGAAAACAGCAAAAGAUUUGAAGAGGCAUUUUCCAAAGCAAUGAUAUUGCCAGGUUAUAUUGACACCUGGCAAUAUCAAGAGGUGGUGAGGGUGUAAGGCAGUUGCAAGUCUCAUAAAUUGCUAGUAUGCAGAAUGGUACAGCUACUUUGGAUAAUAUGUUGGCAGUCUCCUAUAAAGUUACCAUAUGAUGCAGAAAUAUAACUCCUAGAUAUAUUUAUUCAAUAUAAAUGAAAACAUAUGUCCAGACAAAGCCAGGUUCACAAAUGUUUAUAAUGGUUUUAUUUAUAAUCUCCAAAAACUCAAGGCAACCAAAAUGUCCACACCAGGUGAAUGGACAGAAUGUGGUGCAGAUACGUAGCAGAAUUUUCCUAAGCACAAUAAUAAAAUGAACGAAUGGCCAAUAUGUUAAAGGAAAGAAACCAUAUUAUAAUGAAUGCAUGUUUGAAUAUUCCAUGUAUCGGCUAUUCUGGAAAAGGUAAAACUAUAGCUACAAAGAACAGAUCAGCGGUUGCCAGGGGCUGUAGGUGGAGAGAGAGGAUUGAAUGUAAAGAGGCAUGCGGGAAUUUUGUGUGUUAGUGGGGUGGCGAUGGAAAAUCCUUUCUCUUAACUUUGGUAGUGUUCACAUGACUGUGUAUGUUUGUUAGAGCAUGUAGAAGUGAACAUCUAAAAAGAGAUGAAACUUGUAGCCUGAAAAUUAUAGCUCAAUUAACCAGAUAUUUAAAAAAUAAAUAUUGAGUAAAUAGUAUAGAAUGGAAAUUUUUGGCUAUACUGAGGCCAGGAAAGCAGUAUACUUUUAAAUACAGGCUAAAUGAUUUGUGGUAUAGUAGAUAAUUCUGGUGACAGGAAGCUAAAAUUAUAUUUUUGAAACUAGCACUUUCUAAAUGAACCCUUUCAUUCUAUACAACUAUAAAUCAAGUUAAAAAUCACAAGCUCAAAAUCUGAUGGAAUUUAUCUCAAUUCCUAAUUACAGGAGAAUGAUGGUCAUAUCCAAUCUUUUCACUUUUACUAGCAUACUUAUAUUCACAGGGUCUUUUACCUCUAGUAGAGAAGAACACUGCAGGUCUUUAGCAGUUUUUCACCAGUACACUGUAAAAAGAAUGAUGAGGCCAGGCACGGUGGCUCACGCCUGUAAUACCAGCACUUUGGGAGGCCGAGGUGGGCCGAUCACCAGGUCAGGAGAUCGAGACCAUCCUGGCUAACACGGUGAAACCCCAUCUCUACUAAAAAAAAAGAAAAAA